UUUUGCCUACGGGGCGCAGCAGUGGGGAAUAUUGCACAAUGGGGGGAACCCUGAUGCAGCGACGCCGCGUGAGUGAAGAAGUAUUUCGGUACGUAAAGCUCUAUCAGCAGGGAAGAAAAAAGGACGGUACCUGAGUAAGAAGCCCCGGCUAACUACGUGCCAGCAGCCGCGGUAAUACGUAGGGGGCUAGCGUUAUCCGGAAUUACUGGGCGUAAAGGGUGCGUAGGGGGUUUCUUAAGUCAGAGGUGAAAGGCUACGGCUCAACCGUAGUAAGCCUUUGAAACUGGGAAACUUGAGUGCAGGAG
rnacentral:rRNA from 1 species